rnacentral:rRNA from 1 species
UACGUAGGUGACAAGCGUUGUCCGGAUUUACUGGGCGUAAAGAGCGCGCAGGCGGUCGAUCAAGUCGAGUGUGAAAGCCCCCGGCUCAACUGGGGAGGGUCAUUCGAUACUGAUCGACUCGAAGGCGGGAGAGGGUAGUGGAAUUCCCGGUGUAGUGGUGAAAUGCGUAGAUAUCGUGGAGAACACCCGUGGCGAAGGCGGGCUUCUGGUUGACAUCUGACGCUGAGGUGCGAAAGCUAGGGGAGCGAACGGG